UCUUCCGUAGCGCAGUGGGCAGCGCGUUAGUCUCAUAAUCUGAAGGUAGUGAGUUCGAGCUCUCACCGAGAGCA